rnacentral:rRNA from 1 species
CCUACGGGAGGCAGCAGUGAGGAAUAUUGGUCAAUGGUCGGGAGACUGAACCAGCCAAGCCGCGUGAGGGAUGAAGGUACAGAGUAUCGUAAACCUCUUUUGUCAGGGAACAAAGGCGGGGACGUGUCCCCGGAUGAGUGUACCUGAAGAAAAAGCAUCGGCUAACUCCGUGCCAGCAGCCGCGGUAAUACGGAGGAUGCGAGCGUUAUCCGGAUUUAUUGGGUUUAAAGGGUGCGCAGGCGGUCUGUUAAGUAAGCGGUAAAAGCCCGGGGCUCAACCCCGGCCCGCCGUUGAAACUGGCAGUCUCGAGUUGGAGAGAAGUAUGCGGAAUGCGCGGUGUAGCGGUGAAAUGCAUAGAUAUCGCGCAGAACUCCGAUUGCGAAGGCAGCAUGCCGGCUCCACACUGACGCUGAGGCACGAAAGCGUGGGUAUCGAACAGGAUUAGAUACCCUUGUAGUC